rnacentral:lncRNA from 1 species
CCAAACUGGAGGAUCCACAAUGAGUGAACCUCCCUUCAUCUUAUCAGGAGAAAGAAACCACCACAAUAUAGAGCAUGAUUCUCACCAGCAACUGUGGAAGCCAUGUGUGGAGAGAACAGAACAUGAAGUGACAGGAACCUGGAUUCCUAAGUCUCUUGGUGGAG